AAGUACCGUGAGGGAAAGUUGAAAAGAACUUUGAAGAGAGAGUUCAAUAGUACGUGAAACCGUUCAGGGGUAAACCUGAGAAACCCGAAAGAUCGACCGGGGAGAUUCAGCGCGUCUCUCGUUCAGGCGAGCCGCGAUCGCGCGACGGACGCGUCCCUCAUCCUCCGGGAUGACGGGACCGUCCGCGCCGUUCGCCGGCCGACCGGUUCAGAACGCGUGCACUUCUCCCCCGGUAGGACGUCGCGACCCGUCGGUCGUCUGUCUAAGGCCCCCGGUGGAGACCGUUCGACGAGCGCAAGCGAGCCGUUCGGACCCGGGGUGUCCCGGCAGGCGAGAACAAACAUGAAAACUCGACGGUAUAACAUAAAAAUAAAAUUAACAAGUUGCCAGGGGUCGCGUCCGCUUCGGCGGCGCGCGUCCGGCCCGGGCGCAAGUACGGCUCUGACUGCGAGGUCGUUACACCGGGUUUUUGAAAGCCGGACGUUUACCGGCCGGCGCCCGGAAGAGCCUACUGUUGGCGUCGGUGGCCUCGGACAGGCCCGCACAACCGUCAGCGACGCUUUAGCUUUGGGUACUUUCAGGACCCGUCUUGAAACACGGACCAAGGAGUCCAGCAUGUGCGCGAGUCAAUGGGACAAAUAAACAACUAAACCCAAAGGCGCAAUGAAAGUAAAGGCGCUGCCUCCGCGCACGCCGAGGGAGGAUGCG
rnacentral:rRNA from 1 species